GACGACCGGCUGGACGCGACUGUGUCCGGCCCACAAGUGGAGGCUCCGAUUCUCCCACCUUGCCGCCCUCGGGGCGGCGGGUCACCGGUCACGCGGCACCCAUCGUUCCGUACGGACGAUGGAGCCGCUGAUACGCGCCCCGCGGUUGCCGCGGCGGUGCUCCGGUAGCAAUGGAGCAGCCGCCUGUGUCCCGUCCGGGGCAUUUUUC
rnacentral:ncRNA from 1 species